rnacentral:rRNA from 1 species
GACGAACGCUGGCGGCGUGCUUAACACAUGCAAGUCGAACGGAAAGGCCUCUUUCGGGGGGUACUCGAGUGGCGAACGGGUGAGUAACACGUGAGUAACCUGCCCUUUACUUUGGGAUAACUUCAGAAAACUGGGGCUAAUACCGGAUAGGAGCUCCUGCUGCCUGGUGGGGGUUGGAAAGUUUCGGCGGUUGGGGGUGGGCUCGCGGCUUAUCAGCUUGUUGGUGGGGUCGUGGCUUACCAAGGCUUUGGCGGGUAGCCGGCCUGUGAGAGUGACCGGCGACACUGGGACUGAGAGACGGCCCAGACGCCGACGGGAGGAAGCAGUGGGGAAGAUUGAACAAUGGGUGGAAGGCUGAUGCAGCAACGCCGUGGGCGGGAUGACGGUCUUCGGGUUGUAAACCGCUUGCGCGCAUGACGAAGCUUGGUGUGACGGUAGUGGGUAAAGAAGCACCGGCUAACUACGUG